GCGCCGCCGCGUGUCACGGGUUGGCCUGUUUGCGCAGGCCCGAAGAGGGAAGGAGGUGCGAACCCUCCGCUGCCCCCGCAACUGUGACCGGGGAGCGAUCCCGCUUCAUGCCACUGGGCUUCGUGCCCGGGAAGGCGGCGGGAAAAGCGAUGAUCCGGGAGCCAGGAGACCUGCCCAUGACCGUCGUUCGGC
rnacentral:ncRNA from 2 species